rnacentral:rRNA from 1 species
UACGGAGGGUGCAAGCGUUAUCCGGAUUCACUGGGUUUAAAGGGUGCGUAGGUGGGUUGAUAAGUCAGUGGUGAAAUCCCCGAGCUUAACUUGGGAACUGCCAUUGAUACUAUUGAUCUUGAAUACCGUGGAGGUCAGCGGAAUAUGUCAUGUAGCGGUGAAAUGCUUAGAUAUGACAUAGAACACCAAUUGCGAAGGCAGCUCACUACGGGUAUAUUGACACUGAGGCACGAAAGCGUGGGGAUCAAACAGG